CCAGAGAAUGGACAAGGUGACAUGGCCAGGGCCGCCCAGCCAGAUGUAUCGGAGAACAGAGUGGAACCCAGGCUUUCUUGACUCUCUGCCUUGUACUAGGAGGGCUCAGUCAUGACCUGAAGUCACUGGACACUGCCCCAAGGCCUGGCAUCCUGGAUUUCUCUGCUGGGACCUUUAUCUCUCUGCCAGGACUGACUUCUCAGUGCCAAUAAAACUUCUUUUUUGCCACUAAUAUUUCGGAUUCGUGAAUUCUUUCAUGUUGAAUCUGAGCCAACCAAAAGGGGAUUCUCACACCCUUAUUCUCUGCACUGCCACUAACCGCAUCAAUUUAAUCCCUAGAAGAAAUGCCUUUUUGCCCCUCAGUUACCAAUCACCAAAAUCCCUUUCCCCCUCCCUAUAGUAACCAUCUCUUUACCCAAGGCUGCUCUCUCCUCUACCCCUAGAGUAUAAGCAACAAACGCUACCACUCAGUUCAUUGAGAACCAGUUAAGGUUCCAUUUUGCCUUCUACCUCACAUCCCUCCCCAAUCCUUCUUUGAGGAUAUGCUCCUGGCCAUAGUGUCUCACCCCUCCUUAAAAUUUGGGUCAUAAUUCCGAAAUGACUCCUCUUACCAGGGAGGUUUGGGGAGGAUUCUCCAUUGUACUGGUGGAAAAAUUGACGUCCAGAAAAAGGCAAUGACAACGUCAUAUACAGGAUCCAUAUAACUUGGAUCUCCUGCCUCUUAGCCCAGCACUUUUCUUUUCAAAUUUUGAUUGAUGCUAUUUUUAAAAUGACUUUUACUUCCUAAUAAAUGUUCCCCUCCCUCCCCAAUAGAAUCCUGUUAUAAUAAAUAUGCAGUUAGGCAAAACAAAUCGACAUGCUGGUCAUGUCUGAAGACGUAUGCUUUAUUCUACACCUAAAGUUCACCACUUCCUUUUAGAAAGUCAGUCCUGUAUUGUUCUUUUCAUGAUCUCCAAUGCUUCCUAAGGAAGCGCCAUGUCCACCCUCUCUCCACUGAGAAAGAAGUAACUGGGAAAACCUUGCCUUUCCUUCCUGCUAGCAGUGGUUGGGGCUCCUGGACAUUCUGUUCUGUGGUCUAGCUUCUUAUGAAUACUUGGGGUGACUGGGGGCCUAUUAAAUGUGCCCCGGGAAUUGUGGCCUCUAUCCACUCACCUAGUUCAUGCUUCAACUCCCCAGAUAAGGAGGCUCCCUUCUUGCUAGGUUUUGUGACACUGCUCUUUUCCAGUUCCCCUACUAUCUGUCUGUCUGCCCUUACUUCUCAGUCUCCUUAGCUGAUCUGUCUUGGGCUGUCUUCUCUUCUCCCUUUAUCUCAGGGAUGGGGAACCUUUUUAUUUUUUCUGCCAAGGGCCAUUUGGAUAUUUAUAGCAUCAUUCAUGGGCCAUACAAAAUUAUCAACUUAAAAACUCAAGCAGUGAGAAGUUGUUGUACUUAGCUUUCAGCUCAUCACCAUUUGCAGUUGCCUUGGCAGGACCAGACUAAAUGAUUUCAAAGGAUGUUCCCUAUUCUUGCUUUAUUUCUCCCUCUCCCUCCAACAUCAGAAACUAAUAGAAUUUUCAUCGUGGAAAUGAUAUAAACAAAGAAGCAUUUCCAUCUGCCUUGUUGCUCCACCCUAAGGACUAUGGGAUCUAUCCAUCUGACUUGCAGUUAAAACCUUCCAUUCUAUACUAUCUUUCUUGGUGAUCUCAUCAGCUCCCAAGGAUUCAAUUAUCUUUCUGCAAAUGAUUCCCAGAUCUAUAUAUCUACUCUUAAUUUUUCUUCUGAGCUCCAAUCUUGCAUCCCCAGCUUUUGGAACAUCUCGAACUAGAUGACCCAUCUCAAAUUCAGCAUAUCUGAAACAGAAAUCAUUAUCUCAUCCCCAUCCACCCCUACCACCGCCCACCAAAACAACAACAACAAACCAAAUCCUUAUCCUAUUCCCAACUUUUCUAUUUCUGGUGAGAACACCACCCUUCUCUCUUUCACCCAAGGUCAAAAACUCGCUGUCAUCUUUGACCAUUGAUUUACACUCACCCUACAUAGCUAAUCGAUCAAAAUUGACAUUCCUUUGGGUAGAGCAUUCACGAUACCCCAUGUGGAUAGAAGGAAGAGAAAGGAAAGGAUAAAAAAAAAAGAAAAGAACAAAUCAGAAAAGAAAAAGAAAGAAAAAAGCUGUGUCAAACAGAGACCCGUUAAAGACCCUAUUAGUUUAAAAAGAGCCAAGGUCUUUCACUACAUCUGGAGCCAUUUCUAGUCAUUCUGAUCUCUAUCUAACCUAUGGACCCAGAUGACACUGGGGGAGAAAGUGAGGCUAGUGGCUUUGCACAGCUCUUUCUCACUUAAAUCCUUACAUAUUAUAGCAUCACCUCCCUGAUUGUCAUUCAUGGUCUUCUUUAAGAACAAAGGACAAACAACAACCUCUGAGUAGAAGGAGGACCUGCCCCAAGGAAAACCUAACUGAAACCAGCUAAUGGAGCAACACAACUUUUUCCUCUCUUCUCUUCUCUUCUCUUCUCUUCUCUUCUCUUCUCUUCUCUUCUCUUCUCUUCUCU